CCUUCUUUAAUACAGCCUCGUCAGUUUUUCUACUAAUCAGUUUCUUCUUCCUUUGUUGAUAUGCAAUUCUCAACCCUAAUCUCUUUCUCCUUCUUCCAUGAAAAAGAAUUGCUUCACUUUCCUUCAAUGUAUUACCUGUCAAAUUGGCUUUAUAAUGCCCAUGUUGAGCAAGAAGAUUCAUAUGAUGAAAAAUUGAGAACACAGUUGUAGACAUAGCAUAAAAACAAAGCCACCUGAAUAUUCCUCCGAUUACCUAAUCUGUGACCCAACCUAGACUCGUAUGUACAAUGUAACACUCGAUUUUAUCAACAACUCAUCAAGCAAUUCUUUUGAAUGAGCUUUCAGUUUAGAAAUUCAUCAUGGGAUUUAUAUGGCCUCUUCCAGGAUAAGUGUCACCAAAGACUGUUCCGCAAAGACCAAUAGCUUGUUCCCAAUUUCCUUGCAGCCCAUUGGGGAGGAAAAUAGCCAACUGUUGGUCAUCCAUCGAACCAAAUACUUUUAAGAUUUGUGGAAAAAAUUUCUUAAGAAAAUUGAUCAUAUUGCACGUUUUGUGGAACUUCCAGCCAUGGAUUCAUCCAGUGAAGUUUCUCCCAUUCUUAUUGUGAAUCUUCAGAUACCUUUGUACCCUCUUACGAUCUUUCAAAAUGAAUAUGAUGGAGAAGGGAUGAGUUUUGUUCUCUACUUCAGACUUGCAAAAAAUUACUCAAAAGAAAUGCCAGUUCAAUUUCAGGAAAAUCUCCAGGUUAAUACAUGAUGAAAUAGAGAAUAUCAAAGGCUUUCCUAGUGUUGUAAAUGCACCCUUCAGGGAAAGACUGAAAUUCUUAGGCCAAGUUGUAAACACAAAGGAUCUUCAAUUGCAGUGGAGAAGAAACUCUUGAACGUAUACAACGAAAAGCCUGUGCUCUCACGUCCUGAGUAUGAUUUUUAUUUGGUAAGCUAAUCUCUGGAACUUUGUACAGCUAGCAUCAUUGCAAUUGUUUUUUUCUAGAAGUUAUAGCUAGCCUAUGAAAAUAAUGAACUCGGAAUCUACCUUAAACUUACAUAAAAGUGUAAGAUUUUCUUUCUAAUUGUACCUUUUUAAAAAGAUUUUGAUAUGUUCUACUGCAUAUAAUGAAAUCGUCUUACAACUAUGAUGAGAGAAGACUUUUUUAACGACUUUUUUAACGCCUUCACUUUUGUUGCAAAUUCGAUCUCAAAGUUAAAAGAGAAAUAAUUUUUCAGUAAUUGGAACAAAAUAUCAAUCAUUAUUUAUUACUUGGUAAUGCCUUUAUUGUCAGAAUUUCUAUCACUGAGAAACUUAAAUAAACAUUCAAACAUUGGAAGGCUUCUAAAGUAACAAUAGCUAUCUUACUGAUAAAUAUUUAAUUAUUAACAUUCACUGAAGCCAAAUUCUUACACACCAAAUCAGUAAAUAUAUAAUAUUUUUUCCUAUGUUGUUUGGUCUUGAGCCAUGGGGGAUCUAUCAAAAACAACUCUCUAGCUCACCUCUGAGAUAGUGGUAUGAACUGCGUACAUGCUACCCUCUCCAGACCCAAGAAUGUGAGAAUAUACUGUGGUAUAUUAUUGUUGUUGUUUUUACUCAAUCUAUUAGCGCUUAAUUAUAUUCAAUCCAUACGAACCUUUAGAUGGAAAGUAGACAAACAUAUUAUUUUGCUAUUCUUUUGUCAUUUUUAUUUUAUCUUAUUUUGUGAUAAGCAAACAUGGUAUUGAUUUGUGAUAAAGUUUAACAACUGCAACAAUAUUGUAGCUUGUGAUAGUGAAAAUGGCUCUGUCCGUACUUCCGUUGAGGUUUGUUCAUCUUUUCAUUUGGAUAAUGAGGUAUAAGUUGAUAUCCCUGUAGUUUUAAAUUUGACUUAAUUAGUCAUUUAAUCUUUUUCGAUUUUGAAUUGUACACGAAUCAUAAAUCUGCUAUGUGUUGUAACACCUCCUAUAACCGUACUGUUGUUAUUGCCACCAUACUUGGGGUAAGUUUCACUUAUUGAUUUUAAAAUUUUUGUAGGGUUAGUGACAUAUUAAUAUGCAAAAUCAUUGCUUCGACGAUAAUUCUGAAUGCUACUAUUUUUCAUCUCUCCUCCUUGAAAAAAGUGUUUCUUUUCCCUUUCAUGUAUCCCAUCCUUCGAAGUUUCAAUGCUCUUUAGAAAUCCAUCAAAACAACUUUUAAAAUUUCAGCAUAUGUUACCUCAAUUGGAAUUCGAUUAGUUGGCAUUCAAGUUGGUAAAAGAUCGGUAAUUUCUUUCCUUUAUUCCCAAAAUCUAUCUCAUAGUAUUUUGUGUCUUCUAAAAUAUAUCAUUCAAAAUAUCAACAUCAAAUAGUCUUCACUUUUUGCUUAAUUUGCUUUUUUAAAACAGGAAAAACAAUUUUAGAUUGUCAUGUCAGUACAUAUCUGUCACUAAAUUUUCAAGCAUUUGAUUAUUUCGCUCAAGUUUCUUGCAGAUUCGAUGACAAUAUGAAAGAGAAACAUUUUUCUCAACAAUUGGAUCAAAAGGUAAGUAUUAUUAUUAGUUGGUAAUGUCUUCCUUCUCUCUUUCUUCUAAGUUAACUUUUUGUAUCAUGAUCUACUAUUUAGUUACUACGCCUAUUGAUAAAAUAUUAUUGUGACACUAACAUAAAUUUGCGAGUUGGGUAAGGUUUCUGAAGUAAUUAUUACAGAUUACUUGUGUUUUCACUUUCUUAGCACCUAAUUAAUAUUAGUCAAUUUCUUUUGUGUAUUCUUAAUUUUCUUUUUUAGAAUAUGUUUCUCCUUUGUCAUUAUCCUAUAUGAUUAUUCAAUCCUGUUGUUUUCUCAAUGUGUUUUUUCCUGUAUUGUGUUUUGUGUAGGUUUAUUGGGACCUUUGUAUAAAGCGAAGGAAAAUAAAUGUGUCUUUGAAUAAGGUUUGGUAAAUUAUGUUGAAAAUGAUCAUAAAAAAAUAUACCUUCUAGGUUUAAUUUGUUUGUGCUAAUUUUCCCUUGGCAUUGAGUUUAAUAAAGUCAAAAUAAAAUAAAAUUUUUGGUCUUAUUUAAAAGAUAAAUCAAAUGUAUCAAAAUAUCCUUUAAUUUUGUAGUCUUAAACUUGUCAUGUGAAAAGUUGAAACAAAAGAGUUGCUAAAAAAGAAAAGACAUUCUUUUUAAAACGAACUAAAAAGGCAAGCAGGACAAACAAAUUGAGGGAAAAAAUAGUUAUUAGGAGGGAGUAUUAUUUAGGAGGGCACAAUAAUUUUGUUAUUAUUCAGCUCAAUUUGAAAGAAGUUAAUCCACAACCUACCUCAAAAUGAUGAAAUUCAAGCCUAAAGUGCUUCAAAAUGAAGCUUUUUCCUUUCGAACGGUCUUGAAAUAAACUCAAUAUUCAAAUAUAGCAUUCAUGCGUUAAAUGAAAGCUAAUGAUACCCAUAUUAUCCAUAUCUGAGAUGGAUUCAAAAAAUGAGUUUGAAAAUAAAAGGGGUAAAUUCAAAAAUUUUAUUUUAGAAAUACAUUUUCCAAGGUUAUAAGAGUGUACAGCUGAAAACCCACAUGAAAACUUAUUAAAAAUGAGGUUCAAAAUAAAGAAAAAUUAUUUUUAAGCUUUACCAAUAAGUACUACAAAAUCUCAUUUAAAAAUCAUGAUUAAAAGAUAUUUUCAAAGAUUUAUUCAAUGAAAAAUAAUGAAAAUAUGAUUUAGGAGUUUAUCCAAGAAAUAAUGAUGAGAAAAUUCAAAGAAAUUGCCUCUUCUCUUACAUUUAAGGAAGUGGACUUUUCUACCUGGAAGAAAGUAAUUUGAAAUUUUUGAUGUAGAAGAAGAUACAAAAUGAAGAGAUCCAACACAAAGGAGACUGAUUAUAUGUGCAACUUGAUUUGGAUAAAUAGUAACACAUGAAAAUGGCUUGCGGUUCUUCUUUAGUCAAGAAACUAGGAAAGGAAUAUGUUUUAUCUUAAUUUCGAUAUGGAGCAACACGAUCAAUAAUACAACAUCUCUCCUUCUAGAAAAUAGCCUUUUUACAUAUAAUUCAUUAAAAUUUUGUGCUUUAAAAUUUCAUCUUUUGUAUUCUCUGUUUAUUAUUUUAUGUGCUAUGAACAAGAGGAUCUCAAUUCAAUUGGAAUAACCAAUUAUCUGAGAAAUGAAUUGUGUCGGUCUAAUCCUAUAGGUAUUUAUAGAGCCCGUGACUUCUUGGAGAUAUUUUAAUUGCUUUAGCACUUCAAAUAUGAAAGAAGAUGUCUAAAAGAUAUUUUCAUAUCAGUUGAAAUUUUUGUUAAUUUCAAAUGUGUCUUUUUUCUUGAAUAAAUAGUUUAUAUAACAGGGGCCAUAAAAUCUAAUGAAAUUCAACUAACUUCUAUCCUUACUAAAUUAAGGUGGUGACUUUUCUCUUUCUAUUAACUCUUUUUCUCUUUGCUUUUCAAGAUGUGUCUCGAUUUUAACACGUCUUUAGUAACCAUCUUUAUAAGAUUUUUCUUUUAUCAAAAAAGAAAUGAAGUAUGCCAAUAUACUUGCAUGGAAUCUAUUAUGUCAUUUUUUUUUCAAUUAUUAAUUCGUUUGUUUAAUUAUGGUAUGAAAAGUAAAUGGUGCGUAAUUGAUAUAUAUAUCGUUCUCAAUUAAAAUUCUAUUGAUUUUCUAUAUGUUUUGCUAUCAUUAUGCAGCUUGCUCACCUUAUCUUUUUUUUUUUCACUUAAUAGUAAAAGUUUCUUUUAGUUGUAUAGCUUCAUUUUAGUGAGUUAUACAAGAUAUUUGAUUAUGGAAAACCUUCUUGUAGAUCAAAUAGAAGGAAAAUCUAGCUAUAUCGUGUUUGUUGAUUUGCAAACAUGCGUUUGUCUAUAUAUUUACUUUAGGAUUAUGUUUUAUUCUGUUAAUACAUGAGUAGUCUAUGUUGAUUUGUAAGGUGAAUUUUUUAAUUUAUAAUAAUGUUUUAUAGAAUAUUUAGUGCGUUAAUAUGUGGAUAAUGUAUUAAAUUAUUGUGCUGAUGCAAAAAAAUUAUAUUUUGGUGAUCAGAUAAAUAUUUUUGUUGCUCGAAGGCAAAGAAUUGUUGCAUUACUUUUUGCAUCUUUUAUGAGUUAUAAGGAGGAGGUUUCAUUUAAGGUGUCAAUGUAUCAAAAUACAAAGAAUGGUGUAUGAAUCGAUAGAGAAACUUUUCAUCAUAUAUAUUUGGGAGUUUGUAAACCAGCAUGUGACAUUUGAAAUUCUCAUGAAUUUUCAUAGUGAUAUUCUUGGUAUCAAGCAAUUGAAGUGUAUAUAGU